UACGUAGGGGGCGAGCGUUGUCCGGAUUUAUUGGGCGUAAAGAGCGUGUAGGCGGCCAGGUAGGUCUGCUGUGAAAACUCGAGGCUCAACCUCGAGCUGUCGGCGGAAACUGUCUGGCUAGAGUCCGGAAGAGGAGAGUGGAAUUCCUGGUGUAGCGGUGAAAUGCGCAGAUAUCAGGAAGAACACCUAUGGCGAAGGCAGCUCUCUGGGACGGUACUGACGCUGAGACGCGAAAGCGUGGGGAGCGAACAGG
rnacentral:rRNA from 1 species